UAGGGAAUAUUGGUCAAUGGGCGAAAGCCUGAACCAGCCAUGCCGCGUGAGUGAUGAAGGCCUUCGGGUCGUAAAACUCUUUUCUGAGGGAAGAACAUCCGGGAUAGGAAAUGAUCUCGGCUUGACGGUACCUCAGGAAUAAGCAACGGCUAACUCCGUGCCAGCAGCCGCGGUAAUACGGAGGUUGCAAGCGUUGUUCGGAAUAACUGGGCGUAAAGGGAGCGCAGGCGGUUUGGUAAGUUCAAAGUGAAAGCCCGGGGCUUAACCUCGGAAGUGCUUUGAAUACUGCCUUACUCGAGUUCGUGAGAGGAAAGCGGAAUUCCAGGUGUAGCGGUGAAAUGCGUAGAUAUCUGGAGGAACACCGGUGGCGAAAGCGGCUUUCUGGCGCGGUACUGACGCUGAGGCUCGAAAGCGUGGGGAGCGAACG
rnacentral:rRNA from 1 species